rnacentral:rRNA from 1 species
GACGAACGCUGGCGGCGUGCUUAACACAUGCAAGUCGAACGGCAACGCCCUGCUUUCUUGCUCUUCCCGGGUGCCGAUCGCGUGCGUAACACGUGAGUAUCCUGCUCUUCUCUUUGGUAUAGCUUCACGAAACUGAGCCUACUCCAGUAUCGGAUCCCCCGCUCCAUUGUGGGCGUUGGAUCUUUUCGGCGGUUGCGGAUGGAUUGGCGGCUUAUCGGCUUGUUGGUUGGCGAGUGGAUUACCAAGGCUUUGACGGGUAGCCGGCCUGGGAGGGUGGCCGGGGACAUGGGGACUGAGAGAGGGCCCAGACGCCUAUGGUAGGCAGCAGGGGCGAAUAUUGCACAAUGGGCGGAAGCCGGAUGCAGCAGCGCCGCGUGCGGGAUGACGGCUUGCGGGUUGUAAACCGCUUUCGCCUGUGACGAAGCGUGAGUGACGGUAAUGAGUAAAUAAGCACCGGCUAACUACGUG